UCUUCUCCCCCACCUCCCCCGAGCUCUUCUGACAUGUUUCCAUCUCGUCCCUCAGCUGCUGCUGUCAAUUCCUCAUUGGGAACAGGAGGCCAGCAGCUGUAGUGCACGUCCAGCCAAUGUGACCUUGUAAAGGGUUUCUAAGAUGACUAAAUACAGGUUUGAAUGUUCCUAAAAAGCGUGACAUUAACCGUGGACAGAUUCUGAGUGAGAGGACCAAGAAACACUCCAGGCAGCCACGUUUCCUCCCAUACUGUUUUACCACCAUUAACAGCUGAUCGACGCUGGACUGGCCGUCGUUCGACCUCGCACCGCCGUCACUGAAAUAGCUGAGGUGUGCAUGCUGACUGCUGACGGCAGGGAAAAUUCCAGUGGAUACAACAGAUGUUUGUGGAAAUGAUAUCUAAUUUGAAACCGAGCUUCAUUUCUCCGUGUGAUAUUUUAACUGAUUCAUCAGCGGUGUCACUGUGACCGCUAAGCUGCCCUCUGCGUGUGUCAGCACAUUGCUGAAAAAAGAUUAGCCACAUCGAAACCAGUGCUUCUACUUCUUAACCUUAAAAGAUAGUUGCACGUGUAAAGUAACAGUAAAUCACAAACUGCUUUUAAAAGAACAAAGAUGUUCCUCACAGAAU